ACNCCUUCUAAUAGUGCCACUCCCUGG
rnacentral:piRNA from 1 species